AAGAGUGUUCUCGUCCAAUAUUUGGACCAAGACCUGAUCCGUGGGGUCCAAAUUUUGGACCCAUACCCAGACCCAUGUUGGGUCCAGGUCCAUUCCAGCCCCUAUCCAUAAGCUUCAAUGGAUAAGCACGGCUCCUUGCCCUUGUGAUCUCACUCGCUCUCUCUCUCAAGUCUCAACGCACCCUCCAUCCUCUCCCACUCCUAUAAACAGGGGUGAUUCUAGGUGAUAUUCUCAUCCUUCUCUUUUAUCAAGUGCUUCUUGCUCAUUGAAAAUGGCUUCUAAGACUCUUUUUAUCCUAUUCACACUCUUGAUUGCCUUCCUCCUCACCUCUUCUGAGGUUUGUGCUAAGGCGGUCAAUGAAAAUAAGCCAGAGAAGAAAGAAGUUGACGCUGACAAGUGGUGUCAUUGCAUUUACAAACACUUUAGUUGUGUAUAUGCAGUGUUUUCCAAUAACUUUUGCAUAGCUAGUUAGAUAUGGAAAUGCAUUAGAUGAUGACUGUGAAGGUUUCACAUCCUCUACUCAAAGUCCACAAACACAAAAUGUGAAUGUCUUUGUUUGGAAGAACUACGCCUUCCAGCCGUCCGCUGCGAUAUCAGACGGCUGGGGCGAUGUGAAGUUUCCUACAGAAGAUUAACAAUGUUUAGUUGUAUAGGUAAAUACAUUGACUCACCAUGAAUGCUAUAUAAGAACUCCAGAAAUAAUUGUUAAAUUUCUUUUUAAAUUUUGCCAUUAUUUUUCUGACCAUUUGAAGAUCUGUGCAUGCCGUAGUGGCCUAACUAUUCUUCUUUGUAUCAUUCCGAGUUCAUCAGAUGUCUGGGAUUGCAUCACUAAAUCAAAUAUUAGCAAUUAAAUGAGGGAUAAAUAUACAUUAUGUUCAUAAAAACACGCCAUAAUUGUUCACGAUGAAGAUUUUUCAAUGACUCCAAAAAUCUUAUUCUCAUUUUUUUCUCGCUAAAAAAUGACCAGUCACGCAUGUUUCACUGUUGCAGAGGAAGUUGUAGAUACGGAAGCUGCACAAACAGAGCAAUACGGUGGUGGAUACGGCCCCGGCUCUGGUGAU
rnacentral:lncRNA from 1 species